GAUGAACGCUGGCGGCGUGCUUAACACAUGCAAGUCGAACGGAAAGGCUCCUGCUUGCAGGGGUACUCGAGUGGCGAACGGGUGAGUAACACGUGGGUGAUCUGCCCUGCACUUCGGGAUAAGCCUGGGAAACUGGGUCUAAUACCGGAUAGGACGAUGGUUUGGAUGCCAUUGUGGAAAGUUUUUCGGUGUGGGAUGAGCUCGCGGCCUAUCAGCUUGUUGGUGGGGUAAUGGCCUACCAAGGCGUCGACGGGUAGCCGGCCUGAGAGGGUGUACGGCCACAUUGGGACUGAGAUACGGCCCAGACGCCUACGGGAGGCAGCAGUGGGGAAUAUUGCACAAUGGGCGCAAGCCUUAUGCAUCGACGCCGCGUGGGAGAUGACGGCCUUCGGGUUGGAAACUCCUUUCGCUAGGGACGAAGCGCAAGUGACGGUACCGGAAGAAGAAGCACCGGCGAACUACGG
rnacentral:rRNA from 1 species